AGCUCGCAAAGUGAGGAAAAUCAGUUUUCCAAAAAUAAAUAAAAAUGAGAAAAAUCAGCUUGGCAAAAAGAAAAUAAAAAUGAGAAAAAUCAGCUUGGCAAAAAGAAAUAAAAAUGAGAAAAAUCAGCUUGGCAAAAAGAAAUAAAAAGGAGAAAAAUCAAAAUAAAUGAGAAAAAUCAGGUUGGCAAAAAUCAAUAAAAAUGAGAAAAAUCAAAAUAAAUGAGAAAAAUCAGCUUGGCAAAAAGAAAAUAAAAAUGAGAAAAAUCAGCUUGGCAAAAAUCAAAAUAAAUGAGAGAAAUCAGGUUGGCAAAAAUCAAAAUGAGAAAAAUCAGGUUGCCAAAAAUAAAUAAAAAUGAGAAAAAUCAGCCUGGGGAGAACCUGGCUCCAUUAUUCCCAUUUCAGGGCAGAAAAGGUGAAAAAUUAUCAUUUUUCCAACAGGGAUCCAAAAUUCAGCAGCUGAGUCCUGUAAGUAGUUAAAUUAUUUUAAUUUUUCAAACUUUUAAAUUAUUUAAAUAUUUUCAAAUUUUUCAAAAUUUUAAUGAUUUCAAAUUUUUCAAAAUGUUUCAGAAAUUUUCAUCUGGAAUUUGCAUUUCUGUUCUCAUCCCAAAGGGCUCAGAGCAGUCUGGCUGCUUGGGAACAACCAAAAAUUUGAAUUUUUUUUUGAAUUUCCUUUCCUGAAAACCCGAGACCUCUUUGGAAAGCCAGGAACAAUUUUAACGAUAAUAAUUUAUAUAAUUUUAAUGAUAAUUAUUUCUAUUAUUUCUAAUGAUUUGCUGCCAGAUUUCUGCAUCCAAACUUCAUCAAUUCCUGUUCCAAAUUCCUGCAGGGUUCAAAGAGCCCCAAAAAUUCUGAAAAUUUCAGGUUAAAAUUUCAGAAUUCUCCCUCUCAAAUGCAGAAUUCUCUCUCUCUCAAAAUUCAGAAUUUUUAGUGCCAAAUUUUGGAUCAUUUCUGAGCCCAGCAUGGAUGAAAAGAAGAUUUUUUUCAUUUUGUGGAAAAUCAGAUUUUUCACCUUGUCAUGGACCAGCUCUGCCUCCAGGACCUUUCCUGGCUCAGCUUUUAAACAAAAAUUAUCAGAAUUUGCUGUGAAAUGUUUAAAAUUUUCCUUAUCAAUCGUUGACACAUCAGUGUUUGGGUUUUCUUGGAGGAAAGAGAAGAGGAAAUAAAAUUAAAAUGAGCAGGAUUAAAUCAUGAAAAUAAACAGGAUUAAAUCAUGAAAAUGAGCAGGAUUAAAAAAAUGAAAAUAAACAGGAUGAAAUAAAAUUUAAAUGAGCAGGAUUAAAUAAUGACAAUGAGCAGGAUUAAAUAAAAUUUAAAUGAGCAGGAUUAAAUGCACAGAGAGGAUUAAAUAAAAUGAAAAUGAGCAGGAUGAAAUCAUGAAAAUGAGCAGGAUUAAAUAAAAUUUAAAUGAGCAGGAUUAAAUGCACAGGGAGGAUGAAAUAAAAUGAAAAUGAGCAGGAUUAAAU